AACGAACGCUGGCGGCAGGCUUAACACAUGCAAGUCGAGCGCCCCGCAAGGGGAGCGGCAGACGGGUGAGUAACGCGUGGGAAUCUACCCAUCUCUACGGAAUAACGCAUGGAAACGUGUGCUAAUACCGUAUACGUCCUUCGGGAGAAAGAUUUAUCGGAGAUGGAUGAGCCCGCGUUGGAUUAGCUAGUUGGUGGGGUAAAGGCCUACCAAGGCGACGAUCCAGAGCUGGUCUGAGAGGAUGAGCAGCCACACUGGGACUGAGACACGGCCCAGACCCCUACGGGAGGCAGCAGGGGGGAAUAUUGGACAGUGGUCGAAAGCCUGAGCCAGCAAUGCCGCGUGAGGGAUGAAGGCCCUAGGGUUGUAAAGCGCUUUCACCGGUGAAGAUAAUGACGGUAACCGGAGAAGAAGCCCCGGCUAACUUCGUGCCAGCCGCCGCCGUAAAAC
rnacentral:rRNA from 1 species